rnacentral:rRNA from 1 species
GAAGCCACGGCUAACUACGUGCCAGCAGCCGCGGUAAUACGUAGGUGGCAAGCGUUGCCCGGAAUUAUUGGGCGUAAAGCGCGCGCAGGCGGUUCCUUAAGUCUGAUGGGAAAUCUCGCGGCUCAACCGCGAGCGGCCAUUGGAAACUGGGGAACUUGAGUGCAGGAGAGGGGAGCGGAAUUCCACGUGUAGCGGUGAAAUGCGUAGAGAUGUGGAGGAACACCAGUGGCGAAGGCGGCUCUCUGGCCUGUAACUGACGCUGAGGCGCGAAAGCGUGGGGAGCGAACAGGAUUAGAUACCCUGGUAGUCCACGCCGUAAACGAUGAGUGCCAAGUGUUAGAGGGUAUCCACCCUUUAGUGCUGCAGCAAACGCAUUAAGCACUCCGCCUGGGGAGUACGGCCGCAAGGCUGAAACUCAAAGGAGUUGACGGGGACCCGCACAAGCGGUGGAGCAUGUGGUUUAAUUCGAAGCAACGCGAAGAACCUUACCAGGUCUUGACAUCCCCUGACAACCCUAGAGAUAGGGCGUUCCCCUUUCGGGGACAGGGUGACAGGUGGUGCAUGGUUGUCGUCAGCUCGUGUCGUGAGAUGUUGGGUUAAGUCCCGCAACGAGCGCAACCCUUGACCUUAGUUGCCAGCAUUCAGUUGGGCACUCUAAGGUGACUGCCGGCU